rnacentral:rRNA from 1 species
UGCGAGUUUAGGGGCUCCUUCGGGAGCACCGGCGGACUGCUCAGUAACACGUGGACAACCUACCCUCGGGUGGGGGAUAACCUCGGGAAACUGAGGCUAAUACCCCAUAGGCCUCGGAUACUGGAAGGUUCCGAGACCGAAAGCUCCGGCGCCCGAGGAUGGGUCUGCGGCCUAUCAGGUAGUUGGUGGUGUAAAGGACCACCAAGCCUACGACGGGUACGGGCCCUGAGAGGGGGAGCCCGGAGAUGGACUCUGAGACACGAGUCCAGGCCCUACGGGGCGCAGCAGGCGCGAAACCUUCGCAAUGCGCGAAAGCGCGACGAGGGGAGCCCGAGUGCCCUUCCUUUCGGGAGGGCUUUUCUGGAGCCUAAAAAGCUCCAGGAAUAAGGGCUGGGCAAGACGGGUGCCAGCC